rnacentral:rRNA from 1 species
UACAGAGGAGCCAAGCGUUGUCCGGAUUGACUGGGCGUAAAGCGCACGCAGGCGGUGGUGCGCGUGGGGUGUGAAAUCUGGCCGCUUAACGGCCAGGCGCCAUCCCAUACGGCACGACUGGAGGGCUGCAGAGGUCGAUGGAAUUGCCGGUGUAGUGGUGAAAUGCGUAGAGAUCGGCAGGAACACCCAGGGGGAAACCAGUCGACUGGGCAGCACCUGACGCUGAGGUGCGAGAGCGUGGGGAGCAAACAGG